rnacentral:rRNA from 1 species
AACGAACGCUGGCGGCAGGCUUAACACAUGCAAGUCGAACGCAUCCUUCGGGGUGAGUGGCAGACGGGUGAGUAACGCGUGGGAACGUGCCCUUCAGUUCGGGAUAACCCAGGGAAACUUGGGCUAAUACCGGAUACGUGCGAGAGCAGAAAGAUUUAUCGCUGAAGGAUCGGCCCGCGUCUGAUUAGCUAGUUGGUGGGGUAAUGGCCCACCAAGGCGACGAUCAGUAGCUGUGCUGAGAGGAUGAGCAGCAACAUUGGGACUGAGACACGGCCCAAACUCCUACGGGAGGCAGCAGUGGGGAAUAUUGGACAAUGGGCGCAAGCCUGAUCCAGCCAUGCCGCGUGAGUGAUGAAGGCCUUAGGGUUGUAAAGCUCUUUCGUCCGGGACGAUAAUGACGGUACCGGAAGAAGAAGCCCCGGCUAACUUCGUGCCAGCCGCCGCCGUAA